GAUUCAGCUAAAGAUAUGGACAUCCUAUCCUGUGGAGAAGAGUUAGAAGGUGAGGCAAUGCUGGCACCUUAUGAGAUUCUCACCAGAAACGGAACAGUUCCAUCUUUGUUGGCCAUGCCUGUGCUGCUGAUGAAAGGCUCGUGGAGGAUGCAGAGCUAGGGAUUACCAACCAACCUAUAAGAAAAAUGCUCUGAUUACUGGCAAGCAAAGCUCAGAGUCCAGAACACAUGGGUAUUCUGGAGUAUGAGGACAUUUGGACUUGAUAAGAUAUGUUCAGCUGAACACAAUCUUGAGGAAACAUCAAUGCUUGCAUAACCACUUAUCCUGUUGGAAAACUGUUAUGAGAUUUGCCUUAGACUCUCGAAGAUUUCACACAGGUCAAUGUAAUAUAUGGAUAAUGGAAGGUGCAAAGAGCAGUUGGAAGCACAUGAUGCAAAAACCACACCAUUCUCCCACCACCCAAGACCUGGGCAGCUGAACAUACUCUUGAGAAGGAGAACCAGCUUGAGACUAUCACACAGACUUUUGGACAAAAUCUCAGACUGCUGCCUGUUCUGCCACAUGUUCACUACAGUGGACAGAUGUUUGAGUCUCCAAAGAAGAGCUGGGAGCUGAUAAGGCAGUACCUGGAAUGUGUUCCACUUCUCGAGGCAGGUUCUAUGGAGUUGUUUCCAUGAAGGAACAGAAAACAGUCUCUGCUCAGGAGCUUUCUGAUUUGUUGAGCACGUUUCUCAUGGAUGCCAGUGAAGAGGCAAUUGCAAGUUUCAGAGGUUUGGUCCCUUCUCAUCGUGGCAGGCAGCAUGGCGGCACAUAGGCAGACAUGAUAGCUGAGAGUUCUACAUCCAGAUCCACGGGCAGCAAGAGGAGAGAAACUCUGGGCUUGGAAUGGGCUUUUUGAAACUUCAAAGCCCACCCCCCAGUGACACACUUCCUCCAAUAAAGCCACAUCUCAUAAUCAAUUCAACAGUGUCAUUCCCUGGAGACAAAGUAUUCAAAUCUAUAUGCCUAUGGGGACCAUUCUCCUUCAAACCACCAUAACCAGCAUGCCUUGAUCACUGAAGUUUCAUUCCUCUAACACAACCUGUGGCCUCCCCUUACCUGGGAAACUUCUACUGUCUCAGCAGGGCUGCUUCUACUUAGUGGCAUUGAGCAUUUGCAGCAGCAAGCUGUCCUUGGGCAGGGGCAAUCCCGCUGGUGGGCCAUCUCCUGCAACUGCCCAGCAGGAGGCUUCCCAUGAGUACUAGGCUCCUGAAAUACUUCCAGUCUUAGCCUGCAUAAUUGCACAGUCACUUUAGUAACCAGCUGGGCUGCAGUGGGACCCAGUGCGUGCUCUGUGCAGGCAUAGGGCCCACUGAUCCCAGCAGGGCAUGAGGACACAACUUAACUGAUAAUUUCUCAUGGAGUGAAAUGAGCCUAUGUGGUGGAACACCGAUGAAAGCAGGAGCCACCUCUAAGUCUAGCAGGGCAUGAUAACACACCUCACCUGUGAGUGUCUCAUGUCAUGUGGUGCCUGCUGGCUUGCUCAGGGAACCCAGGCUGUAACAGCCCUCUUCCUACCCUUACCCCCAAUCUAUCCCAACCCAAGAAGGAGCCAGCAGCGAAUGAGGGCACAUGGUGGAAUAUUCCAGAUUCCCCAUAAGGGUUCACAGCUCAUGGGGUGGUGCCCACAAUUUGGCACUCACUAUGAGCUAACGUGCAUGGCUAAAGGGCUGGCACAUGCUCAGUGAGCCUAGGAGAUGGCACCCCUCUGGCAGGAAGGAGCCAGGUCAGAUUAUAAGAUGUUGUGAGGGUCCAUGGUGGAAUAUUCCCUGCAGCUGGAUCACAAGGUGGCAUCCAGCCUGAGCCAAUAUACACGGACCUAGUACUCAUGUGUGUUCAGUACCCUCACCAGAGAGUGCCUGGUUGCUUCUGCUCCUGUCUGUGCUUCUGAUAUGGAAGAAAGGACAGCUGAGUCCAUUUAUUUCUUUAGCAACUGGAAAGGACUAAAGGAUUUGACAAAUGAAAGCUGUUUGAAAAAUUUAAAUGCACACAUUUAAAAUGAAUAAAAAUUAAAGUACAAGAAAUGUUUUUCAUUAAAAAUUACCAUGUGUCUGACAGAUGUGUAUGGAGGCUUGCUUGCCCCUGCUGGUGCAUGAAGAUCAAUAGAUAACUUUAUUGUGUGCAUUCUCUCCUUUUACCUCUUCUUAGAACCUAGAGAUCAGAUUCUGGUCCUAGGACUAAAUUGAUUUUACAUCCUUGAGAGUCACGCACCAUUCUCCACCAUGUCAUUUUGCAGGCCUCUCAGUCUAGUGAAAUACUUAGUGUUUUACUUUUUAAUGGUGAUUAAGAUUUAUAUUUGCUAUUAUUUUCAUAAUAAUGACCAAUGUGGUGAAUGUUCUUGCUUUUCAACUUAACUACAUCCUGAAUUAGCUAAAACCAAAAUGGCUGGGUACACCGGAGAGGAAUUUUUUCUUAUUUAAAUCAUUUGAAGUGGGAAGACGUACCCUAAAUUCAGAUCUUUUGAGAUGGGAAGAUUCACCUUAAAUCUGGGCCACACCUUCUGGUGGCGGUCUCUAUGGAGGACACGGAAGAGGGUAGCUCUUGCUCCUUGUCUUCUUGCCCUCAUUCUCACUAGCAAGUCCAUUCUUUCACUGGCAUUAGAGCCUGCUUCUUUGGGAGUCCAUCGCAUCCUGAAGAUCAGCUGAGUCAUCCAGCCUCGUGGACUAAACAAGAACAAGAAUCCAAUAGAUUCUUGGACUUUCCAUCAGGAGAAAGCCAUUGUUGGAAUUGUUGGACCACAGCCUG